AAUUAUUAAACUGGAUAGGGUGCAAGAGGGAGUAACCCCCUCCUUGCCACUGAUCAGUCAUAGACAUAGGGGUGUGUGCUGCUGGAGGAACAGGUUGAGCUGCAGCUAACAUUACAUUUUCAUUUAUAUCAAAUCUGUAUUAUACGAUUGAACUGACUUUGUUAAGUGCCUUGACAUGGUAUGUGUUGUGAAUUGGCACUAUAUAAAUAAAACUGAACUGAAUUCAAUUGGUUAUAUGAAAUUCUUCAAAAAGUAGUUGCUUAUCAAUUGUUUAAGCAUUUACACAGUAAUGACUUGUUUGAAGAGUUUCAGUAAGGUUUGAGAGCUUAUUAUAUUACCAAAACAGCACAGGUAAAAAUCACUAAUGAUAUUCUCAUGGCCUCAGAUAAUGGACCUGUGUAUGGACCAAUCCUGUUGGAUCUCAAUAAGUUGGUUAGAAAACAGGCAUGUUUUGAAUGCAUAAUGUUUGACCAGGAUAUGUCAUUUAGAUACCAUAUUAAACAGGUCUCUAGAAGUUCCUUCUUUCACUUCAGGAAUAUUGCCUAUAUUAGAAAUAUCCUGUAUAAGAGUGAUGCAGAAAAACUAUCCUAUGCAUUUUUUUCUUGAAGGACUACUGUAAUUUUUUACUUUCAAGAAGUCCUAAAAUUGCACUUAAAAGCCUUUAGCUUGCCCAAAACACAGCAGAGAGAGUUCUGAUGAAAAAAAAAAAGAAGAAAUAUAAAUAAACUUAAUUACAGAAUUACUGGAGGAAACAAUCAUGUAUGUCUUAAGGAGCGUGCCAGCGUACAAUGAUGUGGUCAUGUUAUGCAGAAAAGACUGUCCCAUGCACAUUUUCACACUGCAGCAGGUUGAAAAGAGCUUGUGCAUCUGAAUUAGCUGCAUUUCUUUUGUGUAAUGAUGGUGGUCAUUUGCUACUGCAAACGAAUGUCAUAAGUACAGUUUCGCACUGCAGCAUGCUAAAAAGAGCUUGUACAUCUGAAUUACCUACAUUUCUUUUGUGCAAUGAUAGUGGUCAUUUGCUACUGAAAAAACUGCCAUUCGUACAUCGUACAUUGAAAAGGAGAUGUGCAUUUUAAUUAGCUAGUUGUUGUGCAAGAAAUGUGCUCAUUUGAUACUGAAAAGUACGUGGUAAUUUUUUUAACUUACCACAGGACAGGAUAUGUUUGCCUCAUCAUCAUAAUCUUGCUCCAAAUCUGAACUGCUGGUGUCAAGGAAAAGAUGAAUGCUCUGGUCAUCUUCUGUUACAACUGGAAAGUGUGCAAUGCAGAGGAACUAUUAAAAGGUAGCCCUGCACUAACAUCGUCAGUAAAAAAAAACUAUAUUUGUAUUCAUAGAAGCAAUUAAAUGCUGAUGUAGCCACAAAAUUUGCUCAACUGCUAAGGUAAGUCUAUAAGAAGGUAAUUAUACCUUACACAAGUAAAAUUCAGUAAAACAAAAAACACACACACAUAGUUAGACAUGUGUGCACAAAUAUGUAUAUUAUAUAAAAAUGUCUGUCUUACUGUUGUCAGUCAGUGGGUCUGUUUCCUCUAAUUCGUCCUCUGAUUCGUCUAUCACGUCUUCAAAUUCUCUUUCUAACUCCUUGGGAUGCAUUAUUUCGCUUUCUGCACCUUCUCCAACCUUAAGAAUCAUAGGGUAAUUUGAUGACAACACGUCUUGCGCAUCUUCUGAUCCUGUCUUUUUGACAUCAUGUUCUACAGGACCGUUCCUUAGAUACCGUCUCUUAUGGUACAUAUAAUGUCCAUAAGACAGUUCGUUAUUGCAGUGUUCACAAAUGCCCCGAGGUCUUUGCUUCUUAGUUGACUUAGGAACUUCAAUCUUCUCUUCUCUUAUUGCAACUUGUGUGUGUGUUUAAUUUUACCUUCACCUAUCCUCCGUGAGACCUUUUCCGUGUGGCAAAAUGUCACCUGUGAUUGGACAAAAGCGUAAACAUUCAAGGCCAUGGUGACGCAAAAGAACUCACGAGAGGAGAAGAUAUAAAUACAGACAGUCUCCUUCCAUCUACGUAUUUCCUUUUGUGUCCGCGUCGUUUAUAGAUAAGAUAGCUGGACGUUGUUUGCAGUUAACCCCUGAAACUCUUCGGAUAAAUGUGCCUCCAGCUUCAGCCAGUCCCGCCAUUGACGAAAAGACACUGAUUACUGGGAUGAAUGGGUUGUCUCGUCAGAUGACUCAGUUUUCUUCCGAGGUCAACCAGCAGUUAGCGCGGAUCCGCGACAAUUUGGCGACUUGUAAUGAGAGACUGAGUCAUUUAGAGUCCCAGGCCUCGUGUUCUGAAGAGCUGCAGAGGUAAAGGCAACAAAACAACCCCGAACUUUUGGUAAGACUUGAUCAUUUCUAAACCGAAAACGCAAAGAGUCACAGUGAGAUUACAAUAAAUUCACCAAGCAACAUUCUAUUUUUUUCCACCUUUUCUCAUAGGAAGCUGACUGCCGCCUGCACACUUCUAAUUCGAAUUUCAGCUGCUACAACCUAUGACAAGGCCUUACAACACGGGGGUCACAUCUGCGUUGGCCAGGGCUCUGAAGUCAAGUCCAGAGUUACAUGGUGUGGAUUAUGUUUCCAUUGUGUCUAGAUGUAAGACGCACUACGAAAUGGUGCACCGGAAUGUCCGGUACAGCCAGCCAGAUCAUGCAGAGAAGGCGGCAGCCAUUAAGAAGUCUGCUCGGUGCCGAUCAAGAAGGAAGCGGUUUUUGUCAGCAUUGAUCUCAUGUUGGAUGAGGAAGAUGCGAGCUUCGAGGGGGCAUCUGGUUGGAUUGUGCGGCCUCCAAGUUUCCACAGCCAGGAGCUAAGUGACCUCUGUUUGAAGUUACAGAGGAGACUGGAGGUGGAUCCAAAGUACAGUCUGACUCAUCACAGGCGUCUGCACAUUGGGGAGCUUUCUGCAAGAAUGUCACCUUCACAUGGUCCAGAACUGGCCAA